GAUGAACGCUGGCGGCGUGCCUAAUACAUGCAAGUCGAGCGAACAGACGAGGAGCUUGCUCCUUUGACGUUAGCGGCGGACGGGUGAGUAACACGUGGAUAACCUACCUAUAAGACUGGGAUAACUUCGGGAAACCGGAGCUAAUACCGGAUAACAUGUUGAACCGCAUGGUUCAACAGUGAAAGACGGUCUUGCUGUCACUUAUAGAUGGAUCCGCGCCGCAUUAGCUAGUUGGUAAGGUAACGGCUUACCAAGGCAACGAUGCGUAGCCGACCUGAGGGGGUGAUCGGCCACACUGGACCUGAGCCCCGGUCCAGACUCCUACGGGAGGCAGCGGUAGGGAAUCUUCCGCACUGGGCGAAAGCCUGACGGAGCAACGCCGCGUGAGUGAAGAAGGUCUUCGGAUCGUAAAACUCUGUUAUUAGGGAAGAACAAAUGUGUAAGUAACUAUGCACGUCUUGACGGUACCUAAUCAGAAGGCCACGGCAACCUACGU
rnacentral:rRNA from 1 species